UUAGGCACUGGUGGUGAACACUUUGCUUCCACAAAGCUUUCUAUACAAAUAAGCAAAAUUUAAAUUGCCGUGCUAAUCCAAUGUCUUAUGCUCCGUGUUAGGCAGUGCCUUGGAUAGUUUUGCCUCUAGCUACUUCCAAGUUUCAAUUAUCAUUAGUGGCCAAAAAAAUGGAUUUAGAAACACCAAACCAAAUCGAAUCAAAGUUCAAGAAAUUAAAUCUAACCAAAUUUUUGGUUUGUUGUUUGGUGUUCAUUUUUGCAAAACCAAAUAUCGAAGAACCUAAUUGAACUUAAACAAAAUCGAACCGAAGAACCGAUGCCCAUCCCCACACUAGGCUGAAGUCACGGGCAUGGAGAAGCUAGAAAAGUUCUAUUUUAGUCUCA
rnacentral:lncRNA from 1 species